rnacentral:rRNA from 1 species
AUUGAACGCUGGCGGCAGGCCUAACACAUGCAAGUCGAGCGGAUGAAGGGAGCUUGCUCCUGGAUUCAGCGGCGGACGGGUGAGUAAUGCCUGGGAAUCUGCCUGGUAGUGGGGGAUAACGUCCGGAAACGGGCGCUAAUACCGCAUAUGUCCUGAGGGAGAAAGUGGGGGAUCUUCGGACCUCACGCUAUCAGAUGAGCCUAGGUCGGAUUAGCUAGUUGGUGGGGUAAAGGCCUACCAAGGCGACGAUCCGUAACUGGUCUGAGAGGAUGAUCAGUCACACUGGAACUGAGACACGGUCCAGACUCCUACGGGAGGCAGCAGUGGGGAAUAUUGGACAAUGGGCGAAAGCCUGAUCCAGCCAUGCCGCGUGUGUGAAGAAGGUCUUCGGAUUGUAAAGCACUUUAAGUUGGGAGGAAGGGCAGUAAGUUAAUACCUUGCUGUUUUGACGUUACCAACAGAAUAAGCACCGGCUAACUUCGUG